GACGAACGCUGGCGGCGUGCUUAACACAUGCAAGUCGAACGGAAAGGCCCUGCUUUUGUGGGGUGCUCGAGUGGCGAACGGGUGAGUAACACGUGAGUAACCUGCCCUUGACUUUGGGAUAACUUUAGGAAACUGGGGCUAAUACCGGAUAGGAGCUCCUGCUGCAUGGUGGGGGUUGGAAAGUUUCGGCGGUUGGGGAUGGACUCGCGGCUUAUCAGCUUGUUGGUGGGGUAGUGGCUUACCAAGGCUUUGACGGGUAGCCGGCCUGAGAGGGUGACCGGCCACAUUGGGACUGAGAUACGGCCCAGACUCCUACGGGAGGCAGCAGUGGGGAAUAUUGCACAAUGGGCGGAAGCCUGAUGCAGCAACGCCGCGUGCGGGAUGACGGCCUUCGUGUUAUAAACCGCUUUCGCCUGUGACGAAGCGUGAGUGACGGUAAUGGGUAAAGAAGCACCGGCUAACUACGUG
rnacentral:rRNA from 1 species